GGAGAGCAGGAAAUGAACAACUACUGCAUGUUACACGCCACAGGUCAGCAGAAGGAUGAAAGAGGUGUGCUGACUGGGAACUGCUUGCAUGACUGCCCUUCUCGCUUACUGUCUUUGCUGAAUCACCAGCCGGAUCCCUCCUUGGAAAUGAACUCUACGGAAUGCCCUUAGGACUGCGACAGCAGAAACCUCUCCCACCUAGCUUAGAUCUCCAGGAAGCCUCGCGUCCUACCAAUGGAAAACGGCCGGCGUCGAGGUUGCCUCUUUGAUCCCUGCCCAUCCAGACAUGCCACAGAGAAAACAAAGAUCCGGCCCCUGCCUCCCCUUGCUUUGCAGAGCGG